UGGGGAAUUUUGCGCAAUGGGGGAAACCCUGACGCAGCAACGCCGCGUGAGUGAUGAAGGCUUUCGGGUCGUAAAGCUCUGUCAGUAGGGAAGAAGUGUAAUGGUGCUAAUACCACCUUUACUUGACGGUACCUACAAAGGAAGCACCGGCUAACUCCGUGCCAGCAGCCGCGGUAAUACGGAGGGUGCAAGCGUUGUUCGGAUUUAUUGGGCGUAAAGCGCGUGUAGGCGGUUUCUUAAGUCUGAUGUGAAAGCCCUGGGCUCAACCCAGGAAGUGCAUUGGAUACUGGGAGACUUGAAUACGGGAGAGGGUAGUGGAAUUCCUAGUGUAGGAGUGAAAUCCGUAGAUAUUAGGAGGAACACCGGUGGCGAAGGCGGCUACCUGGACCGAUAAUUGACGCUGAGACGCGAAAGCGUGGGGAGCAAACAGGAUUAGAUACCCUGGUAGUCCACGCCGUAAACGAUGAGAACUAGGUGUUGCGGGUAUUGACCCCUG
rnacentral:rRNA from 1 species